rnacentral:rRNA from 1 species
CCUAAAUUUCCCAUGGCAGACUGCUCAAUAACACAUGAUCAACUUACCCUAUAGAGAAAAAUAACCUCGGGAAACUGAGGAUAAUAUUUCAUAGUUGAAAAGGCUUGGAAAAGUUUUUCGACUAAAGGGAUAAAAAAAAAUGGUUUUUAUCCGCUAUAGGAUAGGAUCGUGGUCGAUUAUGGUCGUUGGUGAGGUAAUGGCUCACCAAGCCGAUAAUCGAUAGGGGCCGUGAGAGCGGGAGCCCCGAGAUGGGUACUGAGACAACGACCCAGGCCUUACGAGGCGCAGCAGGCGCGGAACCUCCGCAAUACACGAAAGUGUGACGGGGUUACCCAAAGUGUUCAAUAUUGAACUGUGGUAGGUGAGUAAUGUCCCCUACUAGAAAGGAGAGGGCAAGGCUGGUGCCAGCCGCCGCGGUAAAACCAGCUCUUCAAGUGGUCGGGAUAAUUAUUGGGCUUAAAGUGUCCGUAGCCGGUUUAGUAAGUUCCUGGUAAAAUCGGGUAGCUUAACUAUCUGCAUGCUAGGAAUACUGCUAUACUAGAGGACGGGAGAGGUCUGAGGUACUACAGGGGUAGGGGUGAAAUCUUAUAAUCCUUGUAGGACCACCAGUGGCGAAGGCGUCAGACUGGAACGUGCCUGACGGUGAGGGACGAAAGCCAGGGGAGCGAACCGGAUUAGAUACCCGGGUAGUCCUGGCCGUAAACGAUGCAUACUAGGUGAUGGCAUGGCCAUGAGCCGUGUCAGUGCCGUAGGGAAACCGUUAAGUGUGCCGCCUGGGAAGUACGGUCGCAAGGCUAAAACUUAAAGGAAUUGGCGGGGGAGCACCACAAGGGGUGAAGCCUGCGGUUCAAUUGGA